rnacentral:rRNA from 1 species
GAUGAACGCUGGCGGCGUGCCUAAUACAUGCAAGUCGAGCGAACGGACGAGAAGCUUGCUUUUCUGAUGUUAGCGGCGGACGGGUGAGUAACACGUGGAUAACCUACCUAUAAGACUGGGAUAACUUCGGGAAACCGGAGCUAAUACCGGAUAAUAUUUUGAACCGCAUGGUUCAAAAGUGAAAGACGGUCUUGCUGUCACUUAUAGAUGGAUCCCCGCUGCAUUAGCUAGUUGGUAAGGUCACGGCUUACCAAGGCAACGAUGCAUAGCCGACGGGAGAGGGGGAUCGGCCACACUAGAUGGUGAACAGGGACCAUGCUCCUACGGUAAGGAGCAGUAUGGAAUCUUCCGCAACGGGCGAAAACCUUACGGAGCGGCGCCACGUGAGAGAUAAAAGUCUUCGGAGCGUGAAGAUCUGUUAUGAGGUGAGAACAUAUGUGUAAGUAGAUGUGCACAGCUUGACGGUACCUAGUCAGAAAGCCACGGCUAACUACGUG